CAGACGUGCCUGUAGUUGCUCAUCCGAGCCUCCGCUCGGUGCACUCUUCUAUGGGCAGGCCAGCAUCAGUUUGGGCGGUCGGAUAAAGGCUUCGGGAAUGUAGCUCCCCGUCGGGGAGUGUUGUAGCCCUUGGUUGUAUACCGUGGUUGGGACUGAGGAUCUCAGGCCGCAAGGCUGUAGGAUGCUGGCAUAAUGGCUUUAAUCGACCCGUCUUGAAACACGGACCAAGGAGUCUAGCAUAUAUG
rnacentral:rRNA from 1 species